AAUGAACGCUGGCGGCAGGCCUAACACAUGCAAGUCGAGCGGAUGGAGGGAGCUUGCCCCUGGAUUCCGCGGCGGACGGGUGAGUAAUGCCUAGGAAUCUGCCUGGCAGGAGGGGAUAACGACCGGAAACGGGCGGUAAUACCGCCUACGGGCCGAUGGAGAAAAUGGGUGAUCGUUGGAACGCACCGUCUCAGAUGAGCCUAGGUGGGUAUUGCUAGUUUGUGGGGUAAAGGGCUACCAAGGCGACGAUUCGGAACUGGUCUGAGGGGAUGAUCGGUCACACUAGAACUGGGACACGGUCCAGAGUCCUAAGGGAGGCAGCAGUGGCGAAUAUUGGACAAUGGGGGGGAGCCUGAUCCAGCGAUGGCGCGUGUGUGAAGAAGAUCUUCGGUUUGUAAAGCACUUUUAGUUGGGAGAAAGGGCAGUAAGUUGAUACCAUGCUGUAUUGACGUUACCAACAGAAGAAGCACCGGCUAACUACGUG
rnacentral:rRNA from 1 species